rnacentral:sRNA from 1 species
UGUCAAGUUUAGCCUUUCUGGCUUUGAA